CAGCGGUUGGGGGGUCCCUGCUGUCCCUGCUCCUGCUCCUGGGUGCCAUCGUGGGGUGGCACCGGUGCCACCGCCGGGCCCCCAGGACGCCCCAGGACAGGACCCCCCCGCUGUCCCCCGAGGAGGGGGAGGUGCUCUACACCCGCGUGGUGCCCAGCGAGAGGGCAGCGGGGUCCCCAAGUGCCACCCACCAGGUGACCUACGCGGAGCUGCCAGGACGACAGUGGCACCCAGGGGACAGCGGUGACUACGAGAACGUGCUGUGACACUGGGUGGCACUCAGGGGUGGCACUCGGGGGUGGCACUGGGUCCCCUGAUGCCACCCAGGGGACAGCGGUGACAUCUGCGAGAACGUGCUGUGACAUUGGGUGGCACUGGGUGACACUUGGUCUCCAAGUGCCACCCCCUCAGGGAACUGCCAAGUCCUCAGAUGCCACCCAGGGGACAGCGGUGACAUCCAGGAGAAUGUCCUGUGACACUGGGUGGCACUGGGGACACUGGGGACACUCACACACGUUUGACUCCUGUGGGUGCCCACCCUGCCCGUGGCCAUCGGGACUUGUCCCUGUCCCCUCCCCGUGGCUCUGUCCCCUCCCUGUGACCACCAGGACCCGUCCCUGUCCCUG